UACGAAGGGGGCUAGCGUUGUUCGGAAUUACUGGGCGUAAAGCGCGCGCAGGCGGUCUUCCAAGUCAGUGGUGAAAGCCUGGAGCUCAACUCCAGAACUGCCAUUGAAACUGUUAGACUUGAGUACGAGAGAGGUGAGUGGAAUUCCCAGUGUAGAGGUGAAAUUCGUAGAUAUUCGCAAGAACACCAGUGGCGAAGGCGGCUCACUGGCCCGGUACUGACGCUGAGGUGCGAAAGCGUGGGGAGCAAACAGG
rnacentral:rRNA from 1 species